rnacentral:tRNA from 1 species
GCGAGUAUCGUAUAGUGGUAAUAUGCCAGCUUCCCAAGCUGGAGAUACGGGUUCGAUUCCCGUUACUCGCUCCA